AUAGAUUCUACAAAAAAAAAUUAUGAAAAAAAAAAUUCUAUAUAUCAUAAAACAGAAAAUACUAAUCUCAUUCAAAUGGAUUCUUAUCCGCUUUUUUAUAAAAAUGGAAUUUUAAGUCGACGACGACUUACUGCAGUAUGUGUUUUAAAAUCAUAAUAGUAUUAAAAAAUAAUACUAAUGCUAAAAAUAAUUAUUUCAGAUACCAAUAAAAAUGCAUAUUCGAACUACAUGUUUGAUUAAUUCACAUAUAUUACCACGUAACAAAUUACCACAAGGAUUACAAGAUUG